rnacentral:rRNA from 1 species
UAAACGAUGAACACUAGGUGUCGGGGGAAUCGACCCCCUCGGUGUCGUAGCCAACGCGUUAAGUGUUCCGCCUGGGGAGUACGCACGCAAGUGUGAAACUCAAAGGAAUUGACGGGGGCCCGCACAAGCGGUGGAGUAUGUGGUUUAAAUCGAUGCAACGCGAAGAACCUUACCAGGGUUUGACAUCCUGCGAAUCCCUUGGAAACGAGGGAGUGCCUUCGGGAGCGCAGUGACAGGCGGUGCAUGGCUGUCGUCAGCUCGUGUCGUGAGAUGUUGGGUUAAGUCCCGCAACGAGCGCAACCCACGUCUUUAGUUGCCAGCAUUUAGUUGGGCACUCUAGAGAGACCGCCGGUGAUAAACCGGAGGAAGGUGUGGAUGACGUCAAGUCAUCAUGCCCCUUACAUCCUGGGCUACACACGUACUACAAUGCUACGGACAAAGGGCAGCAAACUCGCGAGAGCUAGCAAAUCCCAUAAACCGUGGCUCAGUUCAGAUCGUAGGCUGCAACUCGCCUACGUGAAGGAGGAAUCGCUAGUAAUCGCAGGUCAGCAUACUGCGGUGAAUACGUUCCCGGGCCUUGUACACACCGCCCGUCACACCAUGGA